rnacentral:rRNA from 1 species
UAGCCGUAAACGAUACUCGCUAGGUGUCGGCCACGGUGCGACCGUUGUCGGUGCCGUAGGGAAGCCGUGAAGCGAGCCACCUGGGAAGUACGGCCGCAAGGCUGAAACUUAAAGGAAUUGGCGGGGGAGCACAACAACGGGUGGAGCUUGCGGUUUAAUUGGAUUCAACGCCGGAAAACUCACCAGGAGCGACGGAUAUAUGAAGGUCAAGCUGAUGACUUUACCUGAUUUUCCGAGAGGAGGUGCAUGGCGUAGUCGUGU